rnacentral:rRNA from 1 species
ACGCUCGACACCUACGGAGGCAGCAGUGGGGAAUAUUGGGCAAUGGGCGGCAAGCCUGACCCAGCAACGCCGCGUGAAGGAAGAAGGCCCUCGGGUUGUAAACUUCUUUUAACAGGGACGAAGUAAGUGACGGUACCUGUUGAAUAAGCCACGGCUAACUACGUGCCAGCAGCCGCGGUAAUCUGAGCGGGCUGGCAAGGC